rnacentral:rRNA from 1 species
GACGAACGCUGGCGGCGUGCCUAAUACAUGCAAGUCGAACGCUGAAGGAGGAGCUUGCUUCUCUGGAUGAGUUGCGAACGGGCGAGUAACGCGUAGGUAACCUGCCUGGUAGCGGGGGAUAACUAUUGGAAACGAUAGCUAAUACCGCAUAAGAGUAGAUGUUGCAUGACAUUUGCUUAAAAGGUGCAAUUGCAUCACUACCAGAUGGACCUGCGUUGUAUUAGCUAGUUGGUGGGGUAACGGCUCACCAAGGCGACGAUACAUAGCCGACCUGAGAGGGUGAUCGGCCACACUGGGACUGAGACACGGCCCAGACUCCUACGGGAGGCAGCAGUAGGGAAUCUUCGGCAAUGGACGGAAGUCUGACCGAGCAACGCCGCGUGAGUGAAGAAGGGUUUCGGAUCGUAAAGCUCUGUUGUAAGAGAAGAACGAGUGUGAGAGUGGAAAGUUCACACUGUGACGGUAUCUUACCAGAAAGGGACGGCUAACUACGUG